GAUGAACGCUGGCGGCGUGCCUAAUACAUGCAAGUCGAGCGAACAGACGAGGAGCUUGCUCCUCUGACGUUAGCGGCUGACGGGUGAGUAACACGUGGAUAACCUACCUAUAAGACUUGGAUAACUUCGGGAAACCGGAGCUAAUACCGGAUAAUAUAUUGAACCGCAUGGUUCAAUAGUGAAAGACGGUUUUGCUGUCACUUAUAGAUGGUUCCGCGCCGCAUUAGCUAGUUGGUAAGGUAACGGCUUACCAAGGCAACGAUGCGUAGCCGACCUGAGAGGGUGAUCGGCCACACUGGAACUGAGACACGGUCCAGACUCCUACGGGAGGCAGCAGUAGGGAAUCUUCCGCAAUGGGCGAAAGCUUGACGGAGCAACGCCGCGUGAGUGAUGAAGGUCUUCGGAUCGUAAAGCUCUGUUAUUGGGGAAGAACAAAUGUGUAAGUAACUAUGCACGUCUUGACGGUACCUAAUCAGAAAGCCACGGCUAACUACGUG
rnacentral:rRNA from 1 species